rnacentral:misc_RNA from 1 species
AAGUUUUGUAAUGCUGAAGAAUCAGGAACCGAGUGAGGGGAACACAGUUUAUCCUCUUGGGCGAAUAAAAUGGUUGAAACAAAGAACUUCAUUGUUUUCUUCACAUAUCAAGCAAUAUUAGAACAUAUAAAAUCAAUUAGAAAAAUAAUCGAAAAGCUCUUUGAUUCAAUAUGAAUGAGGAAAUUUGAACAAUCUUCAAUUUCCAUUCUCGUUUCCUUAGCUUAAUUUAUUUCAAUUUUUAUUGAAGUCUCUAUGUAUGUAUUUUCUUCAAUUUUUAGACUAGUCUUCUCAGGAUUUUCUUGCUUAGUUUCAUCAACUUCUUUUUCUAGAAUAAGUUCUUCAACAUAUGCUUCUAGAACUGGUUCCUUAACAUGUGAAGAUUCAACAACGAAAACUUCGGGUUCUUCCAAAUCAGAAUCUUCAAAUUGCUCGUUUUGUUCUUCAACUUUAUCUCUGAGUUGCUCUUCUAGUUUUUAAUCUUGAAUAUUUCUUUAAAUUGAACAUUUUAAGCUAGCAUCAUAAACAAUGAUUAGAACUUAUUUGUGAUUGAGUUUGCCAAUGUUCAUGUUGAAACAUAUAGUUUGUCUUCCAUGCUUCAAGUUCUCUUUUCCUAGUUUGUUGUUGAAUAUGUUGAAUCUGAUAUUCCUUCUUCCAUGCUUCAAGUUCUCUCUCCCUAGCUUGUUACAGUUGUUUGAUAAUUUGACAUUCAUAAAAUAAUUUGGGCGGACAAUAUAUAACACCACCAUAUGAAUCCCUUAAAUAGCAUAUUUCAUCUAGUUGUAUCUUGUACUCAUUGAUUUCAGCUUGUAAUUUUUGAAUUUCAAUCCAUAUAAAUGCCUUAAAAUCAUUGAUUGCAGUUUUUACUCUUUCAUUUUUAAUCUACUUCAUUAGUCUCGCUGAAAACACAAUUUAAAGCGGUUACCAGUCUUUAGGAGUUGUUUUUGCCAAAAUGGAUGCCCAAAUUAGAAUCGGUGCAUUGAAAUUAGUAGACAGAGGUCCUAUCAAAAUUUUGUUGAAGUGGCACCGGGCUGGCAUUGUUUGUUGAGAUGGUAGUAAUGUUGUGUUGGCAUGGCAGGCUAAUGUGGCAUCUAUAUGCUGACAUGGUUGAUGAGCUAACUAACAUGGUGGAUGAGCUAGCACUAACAUUUCUUGAGAGUGGAGGACAAUCAGGUGCUUGGCGGCUCACAGGUGCUAGGUCAGCUUGCCUUGCUGAUACGGUGGAUCCUUGACUUGACCUGGUUGGAUCUCACUGUAGGAAGCCGUUCAGACACGAGGAACGGUGUCGCUUGCAUAUGGCGAGCUUUCUAGAAGAUCUAAGAAGUGGGAAGUUGAAAAUUGAUUCAGGUCAGACCCUGAUUGUUGGGUUCUCUCGUUUUGAGCUUCUUAUGGCUGCCAGAGUUGCGCCAUUUGAAUUGCCUUAGGCCAAGGAGAAGUUUGGUGAAGACGGCGGGGUGAUUCGGUGAAGGGAGAGUGGUGGGUGGAGAACAGAAGGUGGGUCUUAGCGAUGCUCUGUUUCGUGAUUUUUUUUUCCUUAAUCAGAAUGCGGGAACUAAUCUGGAAGGGAAUUUUCAAAAGAAGACAAUUUUUUUUUUCAAAAUAGAAAGAACGAUAAACUGAGGGAAGGGAGUUUUUGCCGGAAGUAGAUGGUUUUGAUUGCUCAUAGGCAAUUCAAAGGGCUUUGAUGCCAAAUUGAUGUAGAACAAGAAAAACAAGAAUCAAGAGAAACAAAUUCUCAAGACACAAAGGAAGAGAAACACAUUCUCAAAUUUUUUAUAAAUUCUUAAUAAUAACAUCAUAAUAAGUUCUAAGAAAAAUGCCCAAAUUACAUAGGUUUUUAUAGACUAGCAAUCCUACUACUAUCAGGAUUAAGAAAUCCUAUUCAAAUACUAAUUAGGAAUCCUAAUUAAAAUAUACUACAAAAAUAAUAACUAACCUAAUACUCAUAGAAUUUCUAAAUAAUAAAAAUUUGAACUUCCUAAUUCUACAAAGACAAUAGUUCCUAAACUUUCAAUACUGCAUCAAUUUACUAAUUGAAUUUGAACCUGAUGGUACCUCUCAACAUUUUUAGCUUUUCAUGUUUAUAAGCAGAUAAAUUAGACAAUAAGAGGCAAUGGAUUUCAAAAGCUCUGCAAGGACAAACCAUUUAGAAAAUAGGUAGUGCUUCCUUACCUUGUUCUGCCAAAAAAUUUGCUUUUUCCUACCCCUUAAGUGAUGUACACCUCUCUC